rnacentral:rRNA from 1 species
GAUAUGGCUCAGGAUGAACGCUAGCUACAGGCUUAACACAUGCAAGUCGAGGGGCAGCAUGGUCUUAGCUUGCUAAGGCUGAUGGCGACCGGCGCACGGGUGAGUAACACGUAUCCAACCUGCCGUCUACUCUUGGCCAGCCUUCUGAAAGGAAGAUUAAUCCAGGAUGGCAUCAUGAGUUCACAUGUCCGCAUGAUUAAAGGUAUUUUCCGGUAGACGAUGGGGGA